CGAUUGGGGAAUACACGACGAGAGGACCGAAGUGAACUGACCUCUGGUCUACCUGCUGUCACGCCAGUGGCACCCGCAGGGUAGCUAUGUCGGGAAGGGAUAAGAGCUGAAAGCAUCUAAGCUCGAAGCCCACUCUAAGAUUAGGGAUCGUUGAGACUCGUAGGAGAUGACUACGUAAUAGGCCUUAGGUGUAGGCACAGCAAUGUGUAGAGCCGAGAGGUACUAAUUUGUCGACUU
rnacentral:ncRNA from 1 species